rnacentral:rRNA from 1 species
UAGGGAAUAUUGGGCAAUGGUCGGAAGACUGACCCAGCCAUUCCGCGUGCAGGAAGAAGUAUCUCUGAUAUGUAAACUGCUUUAGCAGGGGAAGAAAAGGGCUGUGCGCAGCUAAUUGACGGUACCCUGAGAAUAAGCACCGGCUAACUCCGUGCCAGCAGCCGCGGUAAUACGGGGGGUGCAAGCGUUGUCCGGAUUUAUUGGGUUUAAAGGGUGCGCAGGCGGUCUGUUAAGUCAGUGUUUAAAUCGUGCAGCUUAACUGUACUAUGGCACUGAUACUGACGGGCUUGAGUGUAGUCGAGGUUGGCGGAAUUUAUGGUGUAGCGGUGAAAUGCUUAGAUACCAUAAAGAACACCGAUAGCGAAGGCAGCUAGCCAGGCUACUACUGACGCUCAUGCAC